UAUAUUUUAGUAUAUUAUGUAUAAGAAAUUUUGAAUUUUUUGGAAAUAGGGAAAUCUUAUUAAAUAUAG
rnacentral:tRNA from 1 species